AACUGAAACAUCUAAGUACCCCGAGGAAAAGAAAUCAACCGAGAUUCCCCCAGUAGCGGCGAGCGAACGGGGAGGAGCCCAGAGCCUGAAUCAGUGUGUGUGUUAGUGGAAGCGUCUGGAAAGGCGCGCGAUACAGGGUGACAGCCCCGUACACAAAAAUGCACAUACUGUGAGCUCGAUGAGUAGGGCGGGACACGUGGUAUCCUGUCUGAAUAUGGGGGGACCAUCCUCCAAGGCUAAAUACUCCUGACUGACCGAUAGUGAACCAGUACCGUGAGGGAAAGGCGAAAAGAACCCCGGCGAGGGGAGUGAAAAAGAACCUGAAACCGUGUACGUACAAGCAGUGGGAGCCUCUUAAUGGGGUGACUGCGUACCUUUUGUAUAAUGGGUCAGCGACUUAUAUUCUGUAGCAAGGUUAACCGAAUAGGGGAGCCGAAGGGAAACCGAGUCUUAACUGGGCGUUAAGUUGCAGGGUAUAGACCCGAAACCCGGUGAUCUAGCCAUGGGCAGGUUGAAGGUUGGGUAACACUAACUGGAGGACCGAACCGACUAAUGUUGAAAAAUUAGCGGAUGACUUGUGGCUGGGGGUGAAAGGCCAAUCAAACCGGGAGAUAGCUGGUUCUCCCCGAAAGCUAUUUAGGUAGCGCCUCGUGAAUUCAUCUCCGGGGGUAGAGCACUGUUUCGGCAAGGGGGUCAUCCCGACUUACCAACCCGAUGCAAACUGCGAAUACCGGAGAAUGUUAUCACGGGAGACACACGGCGGGUGCUAACGUCCGUCGUGAAGAGGGAAACAACCCAGACCGCCAGCUAAGGUCCCAAAGUCAUGGUUAAGUGGGAAACGAUGUGGGAAGGCCCAGACAGCCAGGAUGUUGGCUUAGAAGCAGCCAUCAUUUAAAGAAAGCGUAAUAGCUCACUGGUCGAGUCGGCCUGCGCGGAAGAUGUAACGGGGCUAAACCAUGCACCGAAGCUGCGGCAGCGACACUAUGUGUUGUUGGGUAGGGGAGCGUUCUGUAAGCCUGUGAAGGUGGCCUGUGAGGGUUGCUGGAGGUAUCAGAAGUGCGAAUGCUGACAUAAGUAACGAUAAAGCGGGUGAAAAGCCCGCUCGCCGGAAGACCAAGGGUUCCUGUCCAACGUUAAUCGGGGCAGGGUGAGUCGACCCCUAAGGCGAGGCCGAAAGGCGUAGUCGAUGGGAAACAGGUUAAUAUUCCUGUACUUGGUGUUACUGCGAAGGGGGGACGGAGAAGGCUAUGUUGGCCGGGCGACGGUUGUCCCGGUUUAAGCGUGUAGGCUGGUUUUCCAGGCAAAUCCGGAAAACCAAGGCUGAGGCGUGAUGACGAGGCACUACGGUGCUGAAGCGACAAAUGCCCUGCUUCCAGGAAAAGCCUCUAAGCAUCAGGUAACAUCAAAUCGUACCCCAAACCGACACAGGUGGUCAGGUAGAGAAUACCAAGGCGCUUGAGAGAACUCGGGUGAAGGAACUAGGCAAAAUGGUGCCGUAACUUCGGGAGAAGGCACGCUGAUAUGUAGGUGAAGCGACUUGCUCGUGGAGCUGAAAUCAGUCGAAGAUACCAGCUGGCUGCAACUGUUUAUUAAAAACACAGCACUGUGCAAACACGAAAGUGGACGUAUACGGUGUGACGCCUGCCCGGUGCCGGAAGGUUAAUUGAUGGGGUUAGCGGCAACGCGAAGCUCUUGAUCGAAGCCCCGGUAAACGGCGGCCGUAACUAUAACGGUCCUAAGGUAGCGAAAUUCCUUGUCGGGUAAGUUCCGACCUGCACGAAUGGCGUAAUGAUGGCCAGGCUGUCUCCACCCGAGACUCAGUGAAAUUGAACUCGCUGUGAAGAUGCAGUGUACCCGCGGCAAGACGGAAAGACCCCGUGAACCUUUACUAUAGCUUGACACUGAACAUUGAGCCUUGAUGUGUAGGAUAGGUGGGAGGCUUUGAAGUGUGGACGCCAGUCUGCAUGGAGCCGACCUUGAAAUACCACCCUUUAAUGUUUGAUGUUCUAACGUUGGCCCGUAAUCCGGGUUGCGGACAGUGUCUGGUGGGUAGUUUGACUGGGGCGGUCUCCUCCUAAAGAGUAACGGAGGAGCACGAAGGUUGGCUAAUCCUGGUCGGACAUCAGGAGGUUAGUGCAAUGGCAUAAGCCAGCUUGACUGCGAGCGUGACGGCGCGAGCAGGUGCGAAAGCAGGUCAUAGUGAUCCGGUGGUUCUGAAUGGAAGGGCCAUCGCUCAACGGAUAAAAGGUACUCCGGGGAUAACAGGCUGAUACCGCCCAAGAGUUCAUAUCGACGGCGGUGUUUGGCACCUCGAUGUCGGCUCAUCACAUCCUGGGGCUGAAGUAGGUCCCAAGGGUAUGGCUGUUCGCCAUUUAAAGUGGUACGCGAGCUGGGUUUAGAACGUCGUGAGACAGUUCGGUCCCUAUCUGCCGUGGGCGCUGGAGAACUGAGGGGGGCUGCUCCUAGUACGAGAGGACCGGAGUGGACGCAUCACUGGUG
rnacentral:rRNA from 1 species